UGACGUUGAUAGGUCGGGUGUGUAAGCGUAGCGAUACGUUGAGCUAACCGAUACUAAUGAACCGUGAGGCUUAACCUUACAACGCCGAAGC
rnacentral:rRNA from 1 species